ACCCUGUUCCUCCUCAGGACCUGCAGCCGUAAGCGGCCGCACCGCCUUGCCCUGGUUCUUGUUCUGCUUCUAGGGUUGUCCGAGUUAUGUGCUAGUGGAUGACCUGUAGAUUUGUUUUAGCGUUGCUCGUAGAUUUGUCCCUCGCGCAUCGCAAAAACUGAUUACCGGCGGAUCUCAUGGCCGCCGCGUAUGAGACGAUGCCACAGCGACCCGCCCCGCCGUCGCCGUCCUACAUGGCCUCACCCACCUCCGUGGUGGGCCAGUAGGCGACGGCGGUGUACAUUGCACGGCCCCCUUACGACUCCGUAGGCUACAUUACAGUACGGUUCUUUAGAUUUGCAAUGGAUUUAGCCUGCUGUGGUCGAGUAGGUGAUGGUGUUGUCGUACACUGCCGAGUUGACUUGCGAUUCUGUAGAUUUAUCAGGGGUUUGUUCUGAUUAGGCGAGGUCUCUGUUCUGAUUAGGCGUUGGUGUUUGGUUAGUACCUUCAGACAUCACACUAGCUACAUGACGAGGUCUCUGUUCUGAUUAGGCGCUGGUGUUUGGUUACUACCUUCAGACAUAAGCAACUAUUACUAGGGCUAUGAUUAUGCAGAUGUCGCACGAGCGUGUGUAUGUAGCAGCUUUUAGGCGAUGGUAUUUCGUUCUUACUUUUGUUUCUUGGAGGAUUAUUGAUGAUGCAGAUGAUGAGACACAAGUUUUAUGGGUAAUUUGCGUCUGAGGCAUUUCAGUGAUGUCACACCCUUUUCACCUUGGAGAUCUGAUGCGUAUCUGAUAAUACCCUCUUCGUUUGGUUUUGUUUGUUUCUGAUUCGUUUGGGGUGAGAUGAGGAUAUAAUUACAUUGUUGAUGGAUGGUAUGAUGUCCAAUGAAUCAUGUAUUAGCUCUAUCUGAUCAUACCCCACACUGAUUUAUCUAAGAUGAGGAGACACGAGUUUAUGGGUAAUUUGCGUCUGAGGCAUUUCAGUGAUGUCACACUCUUUUCACCUUGGAGAUCUGAUGCAUCCGCUCUACUCAUUUCUUCUUUUGUUUUGUGUUUUCAAGUCUGAGAGAUGAGAUGAUGAAUGAGAUUAAUUUCCCUAUUGGUUUGAUUAGCUGACAUGAUGGCCUACAUACUGAACCGAAUCUGAUCAUCCUGCCUUCUGUGAUAUGGAGAGAAAGCAUUUAUAGUUGAUAGAUAUGUUUGUGUUUGUUGCAGAAUGAUAAAAGCAGUGUUAGAUCAAUUUAGAUAGAAUGGGUUGAUGCAGAUGAUGAGACAUGAGUUUAUGGGUAAUUUGCAUCUGAGUCAUUUCUGUGAUGUCACACUCUUUUUCACCUUGGAGAUCUGAUGCAUCUGCCCUCACUAUUGUGUUUCUACUUGCUAGUAUAUUUUUCUUUAAAAGAAUCAUUUUUGCCUUUAGUAAGCGAGAGAUGAUAUGAUGAAUGAGAUUAAUUUCCCUAUUGGUUUGAUUGGCUGAUAUGAUGGCCUAAAAUACUGAACCGAAUCUGAUCAUCUUGCUUUCAACUCUCAAUGAUAAAGUCCAAUCUGUUUUUUUCUUGCCUUGCUUUAACAUUGUUUCAUCAAUUUGAUCUAAUCAUUUUCUAAUUUAAUCGGUGGAGGUGAGAUGAUGAAUGAUUAAUUUCCCUAUUGGUUUGAUUGGCCAACAUGAUGGCCUAAAUACUGAACCGAGUCUGAUCACCAUCCCUGGUUUGAUAAAAAAAAUGUGAUUUUAGCUUCUAGUUUUGAAAGGUUGCAGCUCUGCCUGUAUAUUGGUUUUAAAAUUGAGUUUGAUUGGUUUCGAAACAACCGGCAAUGUUGAUGCAGAUGAGGAGACACAAGUUUUAUGGGUAAUUUGCGUCUGAGGCAUUCUAUGAUGUCACAGCUUUUUCACCUUGGAGAUCUGAUGCAUCCCUGAAUUCUGUUGGAUUUUGCCCUAUGUGCAACCUGAAAUUCCAGUUUACCAUCUGUGAUUCUAUUGUUUUCUUUUUGCUUUUUAUCUAGUGUAAUUGAAGUCCUUGUGGUUCAUCUGAUUUAGAGUAGAAACAUGUGGUGGUGCAAUGAUUAUAAAACAUUCCUCGUACUGAUGGGAGAUCCACGUGAACGACUCCUAUACACCCAUAGAAUCUGAGCAUUACCAAACCACUAUUCUACUGGAUUUGUUGGAUACUUGUUUUCUGUGUUUAUUUGUUCUGCGGUUUGUUUUGCAUUUUCAUUAGAUAGUAUUGUGUUGAAUUAUUUGAAAAUUUGUCAAUUUCAGAGGAAAUGUUUGGGUGACUUUACUUGUCUUAACUUCUCUUUUCGUAAUUCAAUGUUUUAAAUCUUGUGCUGCUGGUUUCAUUUGUGCAGUGAUUAUAAAACAUUCCUCGUACUGAUGGGAGAACCACAUGAAUGACUCCUAAUACACCCAUAGAAUCUGAGCACCAGUAAACUCGGCCUUGGUCAACUAUUAUUUCUCAAACCAUUUUGUUUUGAGGACGGUUAAGGUUAAUAUUUGAUCUUGACCAGUCUGUUUUUUUUUGAAGAUGUUUUGCUUUUGUAAGUGGCGUGUUCAUUGGUGGCCAAUGAUUAAAGUAAUUUAAUAGACAAGCAUAUGUCUGAAUUUUCUUUAUGUGGAAUCAUCUAAUCUUCUCUAUGAGGCUAAUGAUCUUGCUCAUUUAUGUAUCUGCAGUUACAUUUAUUGUGUUUUAUGUCUUCAUGGUGCUGGUGAUGAUUAGUGUGAACCUUUCUCAAUGAAAUCACAAAUGAUUACAUAACCUACUGCCUUCCUUCUGAGGCAUCAUGAUUCCUGGUGUUCUAUUUCUGUUUUUCUUUUCUUUUGUUUUUAUUUUCAUUGAAUUGUUGUUUGCCCGAGGUCAACUGAUGAUUACAAGUGCAUAGUUCAUAUGAUAAAAUCAUGAUUACAUGAACGAAAAUAGUCUUUCGCUCCUAUCUGAUGACCCUUAAACCUAACCCUUUUUGCAGCAGAAUCAAACAAUUUCGUUCAUCUUUCCUAACACUUUUUAUUUGAAAAUCAAAACAAUUAAUUUACUAUGAUUUUCCUUCGAGGACGGUGAAGAUUGAUAUUUGGUCUCGUUCGUCGUAACUGGCAUUUAUUUGCCUUGCCGACCAUCCUGCUAUAUCACCACCCAUAUUCUGAGUCCUCUUAUUACUUUGUAUAUUGGAAACUGACAUGUUAAUUCUUUUUCAGGAUCUGUCCUUUGUUUGAACUAAAGUAUUUGAAUCACCUUCUAUUGGACUAAUAAAUAUCUUAUUUGUUUAUUUGCCGGGAUGUGAGCAGUGAUGAGACAAUUCUAUAAAUAUGAUCUUCCAGGUGUGAUUAUCAAACGCUACGUUCUUCCUGAGCUCAUAUCCCGUUUGCCAUUUAAAUUCUGUUAGAUUGCAAUAGGAAUUUUUUUAUCAUGCAUACAAUAAGUACAUUGAUGGUUGUAAUGAUUUUCCAAUCCAGUUUUGAGGAUGAUGAUUUCAUAUUUGUCGCCCCAGUCUUAUGGUCUGCAUUGUUGGAUCUGUGCUGAUUGACAUUUCUGAAUCUGACUCUGUGGAAGUUGAUAUCAUAUUGUGAAGUCCUCUUAUCCCUCCUAUACAUUCACAGAUUUGUUUCAGUCCUGUCUUCCAGUUGGUUCUGUUUUCAAUAUAUACUUCUUUUCCUGUGAUGGCAGUGACGAUUUGCAAAUAUUCAAGCUCAACAGACCAAAUCACAGGUUUUCUCUCAGGAGUUGAUAUGUAUGCCGAUUAUCCCGCUGAACCGAGCCAUCUCCCACUUGAUUUUUUUGGUCUGCCAUUCCUUGUUCUUCUCUUUUUGUGUUUGAUUUUGUUUGUUGUAUUUGGUGAUGUAGUUGCGAUGAGGAUAACAAGCUCCCUCUUCUGAAAGCAUUGACGAAAUUGCUGGCAGAAUCGAACCUAUUAAAUAUUGCCACCACUGAGCAACUUUAUAUCUCUUUUUGCUGUCAUUUUAUAUCUCCUUUUGCUGUUAUUGAUCGUUUGCGUCUUUACCUUCCAGUUUUAAUAUUUGUGUGGGUUGUGCCGAGGUAUUGAUGCGUGAUCUAACACUUAUCCUAGGGUUGGCUCUCCGAUGAUGUUAAAUUUUGUAGUUAUUAAUUUUGUCAAAUUAGGUCAUUAAUGCAGUUGAAGCCAAUGAUGAUUAGCUUUUAUGUUGGAAUUACCGUCAGAUAGCCAAUGACGAUAUAUUUUGCGGCUUUCUGAAGUUUUAUACUGCUAGUCUCUUGGAAAUGGUCUUGGCUUAAAUCCUCAUUUGCACCCUAUUUGGUUCAGCUGUCUGGUCUGCUGGUUUCUUUACUCUGUUUUUUUCAACUAUUUGCAUGUCUUGAUAGUCCAUUUGAUCCGAUGGAUUGGGGAAAUGUUAUGUGGCAGUGAUGAUAAAUUUAAGGCUUGUUUCUCAAAACAUUCGCAGUUGCCGCCUAAGAGCUUUCGCCCUGCCAGGCUAGAGAGCUAAUGCUGCUAAUUCCUUCCUUGGAUGUCUGAGCCUCGUUCACAUCUCCUCCCCAUUUCAUAUUUAUAUCAAUUUUAGUUUAUUGUUUUUGCUGCUUGUUUAAUUGCAUUGGCUUGUUUUUCAAACAUUUUGCUUUCUCUGGUUUUUGCUCUGCCAUGUUUCAUUCUCUCAAGCUGAAUUUAUAUGCUAAUUAUUGAUGGGAAGGCGAUAAUGGAAGGGUUGAAGGCUUGGAAGUCCCCUUGACAAAGUUUUACAAACCAACCGGCCUCUAUGGAGUCGUUGAUGACCAUCCGUCUGCGGCUUUGGUUGCAUGUGGGGUGUAGUUAUAAUCUACUGUGUAUGAGGUCCCUUAUAUUUUUGGGUGUAUGAAGUCUGCUUAAUCAUCCAACCUACCAUAUUGUAAUUAGGGAAUCUACUUUUCCCAACGUCUGGCGGCUCUGUCCACAACCCGCUCGUCGUGGAACCUGUGCCGCGUCUGUAGAGUGUCAGGCGAUAUAUAUUCUCUGUAAACAGUAAUGAAGGAUUGCGAUAUAUAUUAGUGAGGACAACCGCCAGGACCGGUUCCUGGCCCGUUGUCGUCGCUGGACAUGGCUAGAGCUCAGCUGGUUGCGCUGCCCGGGGCGGUAGUUAUCGCGUCUCUGGACACACGACGGGUCGCCAGCAUGCCAUGGCUGCUCGCCGGCUCGGCUGUGCAGAUGCUUCAUGCGGACCCGCCUCCGCCGGCGCAUUGGCUGCCUUCGCACAUGCUUACCCCUGUUGCCGAGGACGCUGGCCUAAGUCACCGCCCGCCCUGUUUCUUACCUGUGCCGAUGUGUGCGGAGGUGACCACGGUGGAGGCGCUCGCCUUCGUCGACCGGUGCCUCCGGCGUCAUGCACUAGCAGCCGUGCCGUCGGCCGCCUCUUCAAGCGGGUCGUCGCUGCCAUCAACCGUCGGCUCGGGUGCCGUGCUGGCUUGUGGGCUCCGGCGAGCCUUGUCCUCGGCACGACGUCUCCUCUUCUUCUGAGUGUGCUGCGCUGGUGAUCACCGGAGAAGCCAGGGAGGCAGCAGCCCACGAUCCCGCCGGCGGGCUUCCUCUUGUCUUGCACAUGUGGUGGGUAUGGCUUCGUGCGGUGGUGGGGAUGGCCAGGAGGUGGGGAGGGAGGGGUGCUGGUCCGAUGGAUCUUUUAUUCAAACCGAUCCCACCUCCUCUCUUAUAUGGGGUGCUGCAGUGUGCUGCCGAGGCACCGCACGUGUUGCUUCGGCGGGCCGCUGUUCUAUUUAUUUUUCUUUUUUCUUAUUUUUCUGUUUACUAGUUAGUAUUAAUUAUUGUAUAUAGUAUAGUUUUAGAUUAUGUUUAGUACUGUUUUACUCUAGUUUAAGAUUUGUGUAAUUAUAAGUGUGUUUAUAUUAUGCAAUGGAUUGAUGAUAUGCAUAAA